GAUGAACGCUGGCGGCGUGCCUAAUACAUGCAAGUCGAGCGAACAGACGAGGAGCUUGCUCCUCUGACGUUAGCGGCGGACGGGUGAGUAACACGUGGAUAACCUACCUAUAAGACUGGGAUAACUUCGGGAAACCGGAGCUAAUACCGGAUAAUAUAUUGAACCGCAUGGUUCAAUAGUGAAAGACGGUUUUGCUGUCACUUAUAGAUGGAUCCGCGCCGCAUUAGCUAGUUGGUAAGGUAACGGCUUACCAAGGCAACGAUGCGUAGCCGACCUGAGAGGGUGAUCGGCCACACUGGAACUGAGACACGGUUCAGACUCCUACGGGAGGCAGCAGUAGGGAAUCUUCCGCAAUGGGCGAAAGCCUGACGGAGCAACGCCGCGUGAGUGAUGAAGGUCUUCGGAUCGUAAAACUCUGUUAUUAGGGAAGAACAAAUGUGUAAGUAACUAUGCACGUCUUGACGGUACCUAAUCAGAAAGCCACGGCUAGCUACGUG
rnacentral:rRNA from 1 species